AAUAGUCCUGAAGUGUUUUUGACGAAACGUUCACAGGAAAUAGAGACGACAUUUUGGCAAAAUGUACAGCUGCUCCAACUCCAAGCCACAUGAUCAGAUGAAAUUGCCAAGUAGAAAUUGUAGGUUACAUGAUACAACACAAAUAACAAAAUUCACACACAUAUAAUUAACAUUUAGUAACAUUUAAGAAUCCAGACAGGAUUUUUAUAUUUUUAUGAAGAAACCUUCUGAAAAGAAAAAUACGCCGUAUGCGCUAUCUAGCGGACAUAAUUUUAGUCACCUAGUGACAGCCAACAUAUUCCUUAGCAUCCACGGACCACGGGCGACUGGACGGAACGUAUAGCUUUCGCCAGCUCAACGUCAUCCAACUAUCAAGAUUCAGAGAUAUCGAUCCCGCAAUUGGAACAACAUUACCCUCUAUAAAUGCAUCCACAGCUUCGGCGGAUGUGUUCACUCUGUGCCUAGAGACCAUUUUCAUCCGCUCCUCGUCGACAUCGAAUCCGCUCAAUGGCAAACACCUUCGCACUAUCUGGAGACGUUGGAGUGGAAAUCCCAAAGGAUUGACGGGGCCGCUCAAAGGAGGUGUCAUUCUCGAAACCCUGUCACAACGCUGGAAUUUCACGUAUGAAAUGGUCAGGGUGAGUGAAAAUGUGCUGGAGCCACCACCAAACGGAAGAGGACUUUACAAUUACCUGUGGGAAAAUCAAUGCGAUUUUUUGGUUCACGAAGUGGCGCUGACACCUCGGCGCCUUAAGAUGUCCGACUAUACAUUGCCUUGGGCAUACGACCAAUUUGCAUUCCUCAUUCCCAUCGCUGACGAAUCAGCCAACAUCAACGCCGUCGUCAAACCAUUUCAAUGG